CACACCGCCCGUCGCUACUACCGAUUGAAUGGCUCAGUGAGGCGUCCGGACAGGCCCAGGGAGGUGGGCAACUACCACUCAGGGCCCGAAAGCUCUCCAAACUCGGUCAUUUAGAGGAAGUAAAAGUCGUAACAAGGUCUCCGUUGGUGAACCAGCGGAGGGAUCAUUA
rnacentral:rRNA from 1 species